rnacentral:tRNA from 1 species
GGAGAGAUGUCCGAGAUGGCCGAAGGAGCAUGAUUGGAAAUCAUGUAAGCGGUAAUAACCGCUUCCGGGGUUCGAAUCCCCGUCUCUCCG